GAUGAAGAACGCAGCGAAAUGCGAUAAGUAAUGCGAAUUGCAGAAUUCCAGUGAGUCAUCGAAUCUUUGAACGCACAUUGCGCCCUUUGGUAUUCCGAAGGGCAUGCCUGUUCGAGCGUCAUUAUCACCCCUCAAGCCCUCGGCUUGGUGUUGGACGGUUUGGUGGAGGCCCCCUCGGGGGCUCCUGCCCCUCCCAAAGACAAUGACGGCGGCCUCGUUGGACCCCCGGUACACUGAGUUCUUCACGGGACACGUAUCGGACACAUGGGUUUACUGGACACGGUCUGCCUCCCCUCAGGGAGAAUCUUUCUAAGGUUGACCUCGGAUCAGGUAGGGAUACCCGCUGAACUUAAGCAUAUCAAUAAGCGGAGGA
rnacentral:misc_RNA from 1 species